rnacentral:lncRNA from 1 species
CCAGCGUACGUGUUCGGCAUUGAGCGACCUCCCAAUUGAAUCCGUCAAAAUUACAUGCUAGGUCAGUUUCGUAUGUUUCAGACAAUAUUGAGAUUUGUUCGUUUGUGAUAUUUCCUACAACACGAUGAAGCCGUGAGAUACAGCACAAAGAAGCGAUUUUCUGAUAACUUGACGCGACUCCACUCUCCAGUUGCCUUAUCAUAUGGUCUAUGAACACAA